UACGAAGGGGGCUAGCGUUGCUCGGAAUCACUGGGCGUAAAGGGUGCGUAGGCGGGUCUUUAAGUCAGGGGUGAAAUCCUGGAGCUCAACUCCAGAACUGCCUUUGAUACUGAGGAUCUUGAGUUCGGGAGAGGUGAGUGGAACUGCGAGUGUAGAGGUGAAAUUCGUAGAGAUUGGGAAGAACACCAGUGGCGAAGGCGGCUAUCUGGACGGUUUCUGACACUAAGACUCGAAAGCGUGGGGAGCAAACAGG
rnacentral:rRNA from 1 species